rnacentral:rRNA from 1 species
ACGCUGGCGGCGUGCUUAACACAUGCCCUUUUAGCGAAGCAUAGAUGUGGAAGUUUUCGGAUGGAAGCGUGUAUGACUGAGCGGCGGACGGGUGAGUAACGCGUGGGUAACCUGCCUCAUACAGGGGGAUAACAGUUAGAAAUGACUGCUAAUACCGCAUAAGCGCACAGGACCGCAUGGUCUGGUGUGAAAAACUCCGGUGGUAUGAGAUGGACCCGCGUCUGAUUAGCUGGUUGGUGAGGUAACGGCCCACCAAGGCGACGAUCAGUAGCCGACCUGAGAGGGUGGCCGGCCACAUUGGGACUGAGACACGGCCCAAACUCCUACGGGAGGCAGCAGUGGGGAAUAUUGCACAAUGGGGGAAACCCUGAUGCAGCAACGCCGCGUGAGUGAAGAAGUAUUUCGGUAUGUAAAGCUCUAUCAGCAGGGAAGAGAAUGACGGUACCUGACUAAGAAGCCCCGGCUAACUACGUGCCAGCAGCCGCGGUAAUACGUAGGGGGCAAGCGUUAUCCGGAUUUACUGGGUGUAAAGGGAGCGUAGACGGCUGUACAAGUCUGAAGUGAAAGCCCGUGGCUCAACCGCGGAACUGCUUUGGAAACUGUAAAGCUGGAGUACUGGAGAGGCAGGCGGAAUUCCUAGUGUAGCGGUGAAAUGCGUAGAUAUUAGGAGGAACACCAGUGGCGAAGGCGGCCUGCUGGACAGAAACUGACGUUGAGGCUCGAAAGCGUGGGGAGCAAACAGGAUUAGAUACCCUGGUAGUCCACGCGGUAAACGAUGAAUGCUAGGUGUUGGUGGGCAAAGCCCAUCGGUGCCGUCGCAAACGCAGUAAGCAUUCCACCUGGGGAGUACGUUCGCAAGAAUGAAACUCAAAGGAAUUGACGGGGACCCGCACAAGCGGUGGAGCAUGUGGUUUAAUUCGAAGCAACGCGAAGAACCUUACCAAGUCUUGACAUCCCAAUGCAUGUCUGGUAAAGCAGACAGAUCUUCGGGACAUUGGAGACAGGUGGUGCAUGGUUGUCGUCAGCUCGUGUCGUGAGAUGUUGGGUUAAGUCCCGCAACGAGCGCAACCCUUAUCCUUAGUAGCCAGCGGAUAGGCCGGGCACUCUAGGGAGACUGCCAGGGAGAACCUGGAGGAAGGUGGGGAUGACGUCAAAUCAUCAUGCCCCUUAUGAUUUGGGCUACACACGUGCUACAAUGGCGUAAACAAAGGGAGGCGAAGUGGCGACACGGAGCGAACCCCAAAAAUAACGUCCCAGUUCGGAUUGCAGUCUGCAACUCGACUGCAUGAAGCUGGAAUGGCUAGUAAUCGCGGAUCAGAAUGCCGCG